UAAACAAAGAUUCCAUUCGUUAUUAGUGGAGGUAGUAAUCAUCAAUUAGUGGCCUGAUUUGAUGCGUGAGACGGAGAGCUUACCGAACGCGCGCCCAACCGACGGAUACUUUGGUACGAAUCAGCUAAAGCUACUAGCUAUAGCUCCAUCAUCAUGCAUUUUGCGUUGCAUGCAUGGGUAGUACAUGCCGCUUUAUCUGCAUUUUGGCCCCCGACUCCUCGCCUUCACUCGGAAAAGAAUAAGCACCACUGAAUGAGCGGCCACUUUGUCUGAUUGCUUCAUUGGUCCAUUUGUUGCCCAACAUCUGGCCUUCACUCGAAAAGGGAUGAGCGCUAGUGAAUCGGUGGCAAGGACAGCACGACGGCACUGUGCAGUAUAUGAUGGCCGACAUGCAAGUUCAUCGUCCUUUUCGGAAAAAGAAAAGUGUUUUGGAGAACACAACAUAUCGACAAGUUUGAAAGAAAAGGAGUGACUGGCAACCAGCUACAAUGAUCCCUUCCAAUGAAACAACCUAAGAACGGUGUCCCAAGAAGUUAUUUUUCCUGUCACAAUCAACAUUUUGGCCGAACACCUGGCCCUCACUCAAAAAAAGGACGAGCACAAGUGAAUCAGUGAUAAACUGAGCAUUCAACACGUGUGGGUAAGGACAGCACCGCAGCACUGUGCACAUACGGUCAAUUCACAUGGGUUCUGAUAUCCCGUUUUCCUUUUUUGAGUCAACCCAUCAACGUUUCUUUUUCCACCCCAUGUUGGCAUCUCCAUUGCAGGGGUGCUUGUGUAGACGCUUAGAAAAUAAAAAAUAUUAAUUAUGGAACUGGCGUCCCUGUGAGAGUCUGUUUCUACAACGCAGGGCUCUUUGUUUUAGCGCUAACAGAAUUAGUUUCCUAUGUAAAAAAACUCUAGCGUUGGUUAAAAUUGCUCGUACGUGAAGAAAAGGGAUUAGGGCGUCCGGCGACUGAACUGGCAUCGAUGCCAGCCAAAAAACCUGGCAUCGGAUGGGAUUUAAGGGAAACGGCAAGGAUUUCAUCCCUGGCACCUGGGCUAAGUGCCCCCGUUAUAGAUGCCCUAACUGUUUGGUUAAACAAAUGAUAAAAUGAUUUGACAUUUCCUCCGUAAAACUGUUGACCAAUAUAGAUUUAGUCCCUCAACUUUAAAAUCAGACAACCACACCCUCAAUUUUUCAUACCCGACAAGUUUUGUCUCUCCGCUAAGCCGAAGCAGUAUCCAUGCUGAGGAGCAGGGUAUUCGGGCCGCAGGGAUCGAGCCACAACGACAACGGGGUGAACUCGUCAUCGCAACACUUGUACGUAGGCAGGUAACGAGCAUGAUGUGGUGGUGCGGGUUACCGGCAUGGGCUCGCAUGGCAGGAUCCACUCGUCGUAGCAACCAGGGCGGUCUCAAGUGCGUGAGGCCCAGCGUACACCAUGCAUGUGCUCUUGGCUCCAUAGCGCCCGCCACUGCGAAACGGUGUAGGGUGGAGCGAAGUAAGUGGAAAGAGAAAGAAAUCAAGGGCGACCAUGUUGCUGCUGCUAACUAGACCACACACAAAAAUAGUUGUAGUGUUGGUGUGCCACACAAAACACAAAAAAGAGUUGCCAGGUGGGCCCUACCGGUAAGGGAGACAAAGAGUAUGACCCAAGAAAAUCCGCUAGGACACGUCAGCAUGAAUAAGUGUCAGUCAAGGUUAAAACCGCGCCGCGUCACAAAGCUUGCUAUCGUUUCAGAGAGGGACAAGACUCUUGGCCGACAUCAAAAGUUAAAAGUUGAGGGUGCAACUUGUUCGGUUUAAAGUCAUGAACCAAAUUCGUACUAAUUGAGAAGUUGAGGGAUGAUUAACAUUUUUAUCGCUUUGAUAUUUACAUCCACUUAAACUGCUUUGGUUUGAUAAGUAAAUCAUAUCUGUAAACAAUAAACAAUGUUCAACAUGUGUUUUAAAGAACGAUAAUUGUGUGCGUUUAUAUGACGCGGAGGCUAUGGGUUCAUCAUCCUUUUCAGAAAAAUGUGGUUUGGAGAAUAUGUGCAUUGACAAAUGAUAUAGAACCUUACCGGAAGGACUAGCAACCCUCUACAUUGAUCCCUUCGAUGAUAUGGGGAUCUUCAAUGCAGACCCCCAAAACAGACACUGCAUUUGUUUGUGGUCUGGUCACGACUAGUCCACGGACACGGAUACAGGAGCCGGCAUCCAACCCUGUCUCCUAAAUGUUUGCCCAUGUUUUUUAAGCCCACGACACUCAAAACAAUUAUAGAAAAUAGCACAAUUCAACCAUAAAUAACACGUACAUAUCCCUACUACAACAAUAGCUCAAGUGUAAAUAUUAUAUCCUAGAUAAAAAAAUUGAUAAAAGAAGGGUCUCCCCCUUCUGAUUUCCAUUACUAAGAGAAACCAAGGAUUCACAAGUCACUACACAGGCUAGGAAGGCAAACUAAAGAGCAGCACACACAGCGCAUCUCUUCUGGCAAUACCAAAACAACGACACUUGAGUCAGAAUUGAAACAGGUCAUUCCACACAUUGUUGCCCUAGAGCUUCAUCCAACAAACAGACGAGGUACCAUGUUGGAUGAUGAAUUGCGUCCGGAUAGCUUGGCCAGGACCAAUGCGGGCGUUUUGAGGUUUCGCGUUUGGAGAUGCCUUAUUUGUAGAAGUGCAUGCUCUAGCCAAUGCAACCAAAAUAUUGAUCUGAUGGAAGAGACUAGGCAAUACAAUUAUAUGUCAACACUCCCCCUCACGUGUGGCUCCCUCAGGCCUAAACGUGGAUCGAAGGUGGGUUGCAAUUUAAUUGCGCCAGCUGGGUCUUGAACUCAAGACCUCUUGACUCUGAUACCAUGUAGAAGUGAAUGCUCUAGUCAAUGCAACCAAAAUACCGAUCUGAUGGAAGAGACUAGACAAUACAAUUAUAUGUCAACACCUACCAACAUAAGAUCGACGAGGAUUCAGUUCAACAGUAUUUCAGGUGAAAACAUUGCGUUUACUAUAUUAGAGCAUCUACAACCAUAUAUGGCAAAUCUGACCCCACGAACGCGUCAGAGCAUCUACAACCACAUAUGGCAAAUCUGACCCCUCAAACGCCCGCGGACGCGUUCGCGGGGAGUGACCGGGCACACCUCAAAUUUCAUUUGUUGCAUCGGGACAUCUCAUACUCGAUUCUAUCCAUACAAAGACAUGCAAAAAGAAAUAAAACCUACGUACUACGUCGAGCAUAGCUACUCCUCGUCGGAGAUCACCACGAUCUCCGUGCCCGGCUCCGGCAGCAUGGUCGGUAGCUGCAGCUCCGGCCUCCUCCGCCUCUAUUUCCGCGUCGAGCUCGUCGAAGAGCGCGUCGGCCUCCGCCUGCCGCCGCCGGAGGAACGCCCGGUUGGCCUCCACAUAUGCCUCAUCCUGGAUGGACUCCAGGAUGGCCUGCUGCUCGGCCAUCUCGUCGGACUGGGCGACGAUGAACUCCGCCUCCGCUUGCCCCAUGUUGAAGGCCGGCACCUGCUGGUCCGGCUCCUCCGCCUCCUCCACCUCCAUCGGAGCCAUCUCCUCCUCCUCCUCUCUUCCCCCAGCUCCUCCUCCUCCUCCGGCGAGUCCGGAGGCAGCCCGACAGCGAUGCGGGCGGCGCGCGCCGCUUCCCUCGUCCAGAUCUGCUGCUGGAUCUCGUAGCGGCACUCCAGCGUCAGCAUGGCAUAGUACGUGAUCUUGCUCCGGACCAUUGAGGAGUGCCAGAGCGUGGAUAGAGCGCCGGAGCGGGAGAGGGAGGAGGUG